UAUAUCAUUCCACUGAAUUUCAAUCUUGCUUUUCAAACCCUUUUCCAAGAAUUCCCAUACCAACUUCCUUUUAGCAUAAUAACAUUUAGCCACAAGAUCACCUUCAUUCUUGGAUCUUCUCUCCCAUUUGCCAAUUCUAAGUAACAAGGCUGAGAAGUUAGACGCCUUCGACUUGUCAGAACUUGGUUGGGACCCAAAAUGAUCAACCUUUGGAUGAUGGUAA
rnacentral:misc_RNA from 1 species